rnacentral:rRNA from 1 species
CCUACGGGGUGCAGCAGUGAGGAAUAUUGGUCAAUGGACGCAAGUCUGAACCAGCCAUGCCGCGUGCAGGAAGAAGUAUUUCGGUAUGUAAACUUCUAUCAGCAGGGAAGAAAAUGACGGUACCUGACUAAGAAGCCCCGGCUAACUACGUGCCAGCAGCCGCGGUAAUACGUAGGGGGCAAGCGUUAUCCGGAUUUACUGGGUGUAAAGGGAGCGUAGGCGGCGAUGCAAGUCAGAAGUGAAAGCCCGGGGCUCAACUCCGGGACUGCUUUUGAAACUGUGUUGCUAGAUUGCAGGAGAGGUAAGUGGAAUUCCUAGUGUAGCGGUGAAAUGCGUAGAUAUUAGGAGGAACACCAGUGGCGAAGGCGGCUUACUGGACUGUAAAUGACGCUGAGGCUCGAAAGCGUGGGGAGCAAACAGGAUUAGAUACCCUAGUAGUC